rnacentral:rRNA from 1 species
AUGAAGCUGGAAUCGCUAGUAAUCGCGAAUCAGAAUGUCGCGGUGAAUACGUUCCCGGGCCUUGUACACACCGCCCGUCACACCAUGGGAGUUGGAAGCACCCGAAGUCGGUGACCUGACCGAAAGGGAGGAGCCGCCGAAGGUGAAGCCAGCGACUGGGGUGAAGUCGUAACAAGGUAGC